AAUUUUUCAUAGUUCUUUUAGAAAAUUUUCUAGUAGGGUUUCCUACCUAGGUCGGAAAUCCUAA